rnacentral:rRNA from 1 species
GCGCGAAAACUUUACAAUGCUGGCAACAGCGAUAAGGGGACCUCGAGUGCCAGGUUACAAAUCUGGCUGUCGAGAUGCCUAAAAAGCAUUUCAUAGCAAGGGCCGGGCAAGACCGGUGCCAGCCGCCGCGGUAACACCGGCGGCUCGAGUGGUAACCGUUAUUAUUGGGUCUAAAGGGUCUGUAGCCGGCCGGAUAAGUCUCUUGGGAAAUCUGGCAGCUUAACUGUCAGGCUUUCAGGAGAUACUGUUCGGCUCGAGGCCGGGAGAGGUGAGAGGUACUUCAGGGGUAGGGGUGAAAUCUUGUAAUCCUUGAAGGACCACCAGUGGCGAAGGCGUCUCACCAGAACGGACCUGACGGCAAGGGACGAAAGCUAGGGGCACGAACCGG